AACGAACGCUGGCGGCGGGCUUAACACAUGCAAGUCGAACGCCCCGCAAGGGGAGUGGCAGACGGGUGAGUAACGCGUGGGAAUCUACCCAUCCCUACGGAACAACUCCGGGAAACUGGAGCUAAUACCGUAUACGCCCUAUGGGGGAAAGAUUUAUCGGGGAUGGAUGAGCCCGCGUUGGAUUAGCUAGUUGGUGGGGGAACGGCCUAACAAGGCGACGAUCCAUAGCUGGUCUGAGAGGGUGAUCAGCCACAUUGGGACUGAGACACGGCCCAAACUCCUACGGGAGGCAGCAGUGGGGAAUAUUGGACAAUGGGCGCAAGCCUGAUCCAGCCAUGUCGCGUGAGUGAUGAAGGUCUUAGGAUUGUAAAGCUCUUUCACCGAUGAAGAUAAUGACGGUAGUCGGAGAAGAAGCCCCGGCUAACUUCGUGCCAGCCGCCGCGGUAA
rnacentral:rRNA from 1 species